AAGCUUUACUACAACUUGAUAUUGAGGAUACGUUUAGUAUGCGUAGCGUAGACGGGAGACUUUGAAGCUAGGAUUUCGGUUCUGGUGGAGUCGCAAGUGAAAUACCGUUCUUACAUGAUGUAUCUUCUAACCUCAGUGGCAAAAACGCCGAGGAACAGUAUCUGGUGGGUAGUUUUAGUGGGGCGCUAUCCUCGAGGAUUUAAAUUUAUUUGAAUCCUCGAUCCGUGGCGCCUCAUGAGGUGUUCACCUCAAAAAAAUAAAUUAUAGGGGGACUUUCACGAGUAAUCGUGAUCGAAAAGUUAACAACAUGCUGGGAUAUCCGAGUAUGGUAAGCUACUUGUAAUUACAAGUAAUAAUGUUUACCUGCGGACAAUCAGCAGGAUGCCACAAUAGUUAUAUGUCUGAAAAAAUUGAUCCAAGCAAUCAGUAUGAAGUUGAAAAAUCGUCGACAUUGUACGACAUUCGUGAAUGUCAGAAAAGAAUGCUCGAUCUCGAGAGGCGACUUGAGAAUCCAACUCUUUCUGAAGAACAGAUGAAGGAUGUUAGGACGGCUAUACAUGAAUUGUUUGAAAAACUACGGGACAUUAAGACAUAAGGAUCUUCAGAGACUAAACGUUAACCGUCCCUCCCUGCUAGCAGGGAGGGGUGAUGAUAUAGUCCGAUCUCACUGGCGACAGUGAGAGUGAAACAGAAAUGAUUUCACCAAACUACAAUUUCGGUUUUCUGCGUACUUCCGCGUGAAGUCCGCGUUAUUCCGCGAUUGUUGCUUUGCAACAAUGAUGCCUAAAAAGUAACGGAGGAGUUUAUUAAGGUCAGCUAGGCGCGAAUGGAAACCGUGCCGAUAGUGCAAUGGCAUAAGCUGGCUUGACUGUGAGACGUACUUGUCAAGCAGGUGCGAAAGCAGAACAUAGUGAACCGACGGUACGCAUUAGACGCGGCCGGAGAUUAUCGGAUAAAAGCUACU
rnacentral:ncRNA from 1 species